AGGGCGGAGAGCAAAAAAUGUAAUGUGGACGAUAAAGAAAUAGAUGUUGAAAAGGAGAAGAAAGAGGUCAGCCUGACAUUCAACUCAACUAUUUUUGAAACCUCACAUGGAAUGACAACGCGCGCAUUUUUGAUAAACACAUUGGAGGAUGGGCAAUGGAUCUCACAAAACGUGAUAGAUUGUUGGGCGGCUAUUUUGAAUUACGAAGAGAAAAAAAACAAUACAUCAGGGAAAAGGCGAUUAUGGUGUUAUACGACAACUAUCCCGGAUUAUGUGUUGAAAACGAAACAGACGGAACAACAGGCGUUUACAAUAUUAACUUCACACUUGAAGGAGGUUGUUGAGUGUAACAAUAAAAUGUUGGAGUUAAAGGAAUUUAACAUCAUAAUAAUACCAAUG